UGGAGGGCAAGUCUGGUGCCAGCAGCCGCGGUAAUUCCAGCUCCAAUAGCGUGUAUUAAAGUUGUUGCAGUUAAAAAGCUCGUAGUUGAAUUUCGGGAUUUGUCAGUUGGUCGGGCUUCACUGUCCGUAUUGACUUGAUGGAUUCUUACCUUCUGAAUAACCAGCAUGCUAUUAAGUUAGUGCGUUGGGGAAGCAGAUCUAUUACCUUGAAAAAAUUAGAGUGCUUAAAGCGAGCUAGUGCUUGAAUAGAUUAGCAUGGAAUAAUAAAAUAGGACGGCAUGGUUCUAUUUUGUUGGUUUCUAGGAUCACCGUAAUGAUUAAUAGGGAUAGUUGGGGGCAUUAGUAUUCAAUUGUCAGAGGUGAAAUUCUUGGAUUUAUUGAAGACUAACUUCUGCGAAAGCAUUUGCCAAGGAUGUUUUCAUUAAUCAAGAACGAAAGUUAGGGGAUCGAAGACGAUCAGAUACCGUCGUAGUCUUAACCAUAAACUAUGCCGACUAGGAAUCGGACGAUGUUAAUUUUAUAAUGACUCGUUCGGCGCCUUACGGGAAAC
rnacentral:rRNA from 1 species